AAGUCGUAACAAGGUUUCCGUAGGUGAACCUGCGGAAGGAUCAUUAACGAGUUUACUGAGUUGUCGCUGCCCUUUCGGGGGAUGUGCACGCUCUUUCACUCAUCUAUACACCUGUGAACCUAUGCGAGUCAAUGGGGGAUUAGCGAAAGGAAAGCCGAAAGGUGAUUUGAUUAGCGUUCUCUACUGGCUCGAUUUUAUAUAAACUCUUGUAUGUCUCAGAAUGUCUACUUUGCUUAACGCAAUAAAUACAACUUUCAACAACGGAUCUCUUGGCUCUC
rnacentral:misc_RNA from 1 species